rnacentral:sRNA from 1 species
GUGGACAAGCAGGACGCAUACAGGAUGCUGUCCCGGUUGAGCGGGAGAGAACACAGUGUGUUCACAGGUGUUGCCAUCGUCCACUGCUCCAGCAAAGAACAUCAACUGGACACCAGGGUCUCGGAAUUCUACGAGGAAACGAAGGUGAAGUUCUCGGAGCUGUCUGAGGAGCUGCUCUGGGAAUACAUCCACAGCGGGGAGCCCAUGUGAGUCUCGGGGGUGUGUGGGGAUGGGGGACACGUGUGGUAGCCUGGCCACCCUCACACAUGGGGUGUCCCACCCAGCCUUUGAGAAGGAAGGAGGCCUUGCUCUGGAGGCUGUGUGGCAGAGGGAGAGCCGCUCGGCUCAGAAGCACAAACCCUUCACAACCACACUGAUCCAUGGAGGCUCAG